AGCGAACGCUGGCGGCAGGCCUAACACAUGCAAGUCGAACGGAACCUUCGGGAUUAGUGGCGGACGGGUGAGUAACACGUGGGAACGUGCCCUUUGGUUCGGAACAACUCAGGGAAACUUGAGCUAAUACCGGAUGUGCCCUUCGGGUGAAAGAUUUAUCGCCAUUGGAACGGCCCGCGUCUGAUUAGCUAGUUGGUGAGGUAACGGCCCACCAAGGCGACGAUCAGUAGCUGGUCUGAGAGGAUGAUCAGCCACACUGGGACUGAGACACGGCCCAGACUCCUACGGGAGGCAGCAGUGGGGAAUCUUGCGCAAUGGGCGAAAGCCUGACGCAGCCAUGCCGCGUGAAUGAUGAAGGUCUUAGGAUUGUAAAAUUCUUUCAGCGGGGACGAUAAUGACGGUACCCGCAGAAGAAGCUCCGGCUAACUUCGUG
rnacentral:rRNA from 1 species